rnacentral:rRNA from 1 species
CCUACGGGUGGCAGCAGUGGGGGAUAUUGCACAAUGGAGGAAACUCUGAUGCAGCGACGCCGCGUGAGGGAAGACGGUCUUCGGAUUGUAAACCUCUGUCUGUGGGGAAGAAAAUGACGGUACCCAAAGAGGAAGCUCCGGCUAACUACGUGCCAGCAGCCGCGGUAAUACGUAGGGAGCGAGCGUUGUCCGGAAUUACUGGGUGUAAAGGGAGCGUAGGCGGGCGUGAAAGUUGAAUGUUAAAUCUACCGGCUUAACUGGUAGCUGCGUUCCAAACUUCUUGCCUUGAGUGAAGUAGAGGCAGGCGGAAUUCCUGGUGUAGCGGUGAAAUGCGUAGCUAUUACGCGGAACCCCAGUGGCGCCGGCGGCCUUCUGGGCUUUACCUGACGCUGACGCUCGAAAGCGUGGGGAGCAAACAGGAUUAGAUACCCUUGUAGUC